rnacentral:rRNA from 1 species
UACGGGGGGAGCAAGCGUUGUUCGGAUUUACUGGGCGUAAAGGGCGGGUAGGCGGCCACCGCAAGUCAGUUGUGAAAUCUCUGGGCUUAACCCAGAAAGGUCAACUGAUACUGCGGGGCUAGAGUGCAGAAGGGGGCAACUGGAAUUCUCGGUGUAGCGGUGAAAUGCGCAGAUAUCAGGAGGAACACCGGUGGCGAAGGCGGGUCUCUGGGCCGUAACUGACGCUGAGGAGCGAAAGCGUGGGGAGCGAACAGG